rnacentral:rRNA from 1 species
UACGGAGGGUGCGAGCGUUGUCCGGAAUCACUGGGCGUAAAGCGUCUGUAGGUGGUCAAAUAAGUCAACUGUUAAAUCUUGAGCUCAACCUCAAAAUCGCAGUCGAAACUAUUCGACUAGAGUAUAGUAGGGGUAAAGGGAAUUUCCGGUGGAGCGGUGAAAUGCGUAGAGAUCGGAAAGAACACCAACGGCGAAAGCACUCUGCUGGGCCGACACUGACACUGGGAGACGAAAGCUAGGGGAGCGAAUGGG